AUUGAACGCUGGCGGCAUGCUUUACACAUGCAAGUCGAACGGCAGCACGGGGGCAACCCUGGUGGCGAGUGGCGAACGGGUGAGUAAUGCAUCGGAACGUAUCCUGUAGUGGGGGAUAACGUAGCGAAAGUUACGCUAAUACCGCAUAUGCUCGGGAGAGGAAAGCGGGGGAUCGCAAGACCUCGCGCUAGAGGAGCGGCCGAUGUCCGAUUAGCUAGUUGGUGGGGUAAAGGCUUACCAAGGCGACGAUCGGUAGCUGGUCUGAGAGGAUGAUCAGCCACACUGGGACUGAGACACGGCCCAGACUCCUACGGGAGGCAGCAGUGGGGAAUUUUGGACAAUGGACGAAAGCCUGAUCCAGCCAUGCCGCGUGCGCGAAGAAGGCCUUCGGGUUGUAAACCGCUUUAGUCCGGGAAAAAGGGAUGCGUGUGCUAAUACCAUGCUGUACUUAGAUGGUACCGGAAGAAUAAGCACCGGCUAACUACGUGCCAGCAGCCGCGGUAAUACGUUAGGGUGCGAGCGUUAAUCGGAAUUACUGGGCGUAAAGCGUGCGCAGGCGGUCCAGUUAAGACAGUCGUGAAAGCCCCGGGCUUAACCUGGGAACUGCGAUUGUGACUGGCGAGGCUAGAAUCUGGCAGAGGGGGGUAGAAUUCCACGUGUAGCAGUGAAAUGCGUAGAGAUGUGGAGGAACACCGAUGG
rnacentral:rRNA from 1 species